rnacentral:lncRNA from 1 species
AUCAACUUCAGAUUCGAAAUUUCUAAAUAUUGGAAAAACACGAAGAGGGGCUUUCUUGAAAACAGUGAGCCCAUAGACUUCAUCCAUGUCUAAAUUCUCGGCAAUUUCACCGUCAGGUAAUUUCCAAUCGAACCAGUACAAAAGAUUAGCAACCAGAUCAACAAUGAAGGCCACUGCAAACGCCAUUCCGGGACGUCCCUUCGGCCGAAACCAAAUGGGAUGUACUCAAAAUCUUGAUUUUUGAAAUCAGAUGAGCUUUUCUCGAAUCUUUCUGGGAUAAACUCUUCUGGUUUCUCCCACACUUCGGGGUACCUAUGAAUCGCCCAGGAAUUAAAGAAAACCGUGAUAUUUGAAGGAAUAUCGUAACCUCCGAGGUUAAUCUUUGACGUUGUUCGUCCAGGAAUAAGGAGUGGAACAGCUGGAUGAAGCCUUAAAGUUUCUUUGAUUACACAUUUUAAGUAAUUCAUUUCAUCUACAUCCUUCAUAUCUAUCUUUGCUUUCUUUCCAACCCCAUUUCUUAUCUCUUUUUGAAACUUUUUCAUGACGUUUGGGUUUUUCAUUAGUUCAGCCAUUACCCAUUCUAGCAUUGUUGAAGUUGUACCAGUUCCACCAACAAACAUAUCCUGAAAAAAAGAAACAUAUAUCUGAGUCGGACAUAAAUAUCAGCCAUGACAAAUAUAAACAUAACAUUAAAAGAGAAUGAAAAUAAUAAUAAAUAAGGACCAGUAUGAUUGCUUUGAUGUUGUCUGGAGUGAGGUCUAUCUCAAGCAAGCCAUUUUCUUGGAGUUUGAGCAGAAUAGAAAAAAAGUUCCUUUCUCAAUUGUUUUGAGAAGAUCUAUCUUCUUCACGGAUCUGAUAUCAAAUUUGUUUUUAACUUGUUUCAAGCUUGAUAUUAAUCCUCGAAGAACAUCAACCCACUUCAAGUAAGGAAACAUGUCGCCAACACAAAAAGUCAUUCGAAACCAGGUUAUUCGAAGCAACCAUCAGCAACUCCGUCAGGUUAACAGCCUCUCCCUUGAAAGAAGCUCGGCGGAGUUUAUCAAUGGUGACUUCAACUUCAUCAUCUCUCAAGAACUGAAAGGUGUUAACUCUUCGAAGACUCAAAAGCUCAGUGACACGCACCUUCCUAGCUUGUCUCCAAUACUCAUCAUACAGUGCGAAAGCCACAUCGGUGCAACCGUAAGAAAAGAUGUUAGCGGCAGUGGUACUUGGUCUAUCUGAGAAAGCAACAUCAUGAUUUUUGACAAUUUCUUUAACCAUGUCGGCUGAUGAAACCACCAGCGUCUGGUUAUGGCCCAAUUGAAGUAGCAAGAGUGAGCCAUAUUUCCUGGAGAGAUCUCGGAGGGAGCGGUGGGGAAGCUUGCCGAGUUAUGGAUGUUGCCGAUGACUGGGAGUUUGAGGGGUGAUGGCGGUAACUUAAGUCUUUUUCGGCCAUUUGUUUGUAACUUAAGCCAAAUCAUAAGGGUAAACAGGGGAAGAACAAGACAUAGAAACAAUGGAGUGCUGGGAUGUUUAGCUACACUCAACUCCAUCUGCAAAUCUAAACAAUGAAUGAAACCCAGCACUUGGCCCUUCUUAUAGUCUUUCCAGAUGGUCAUCAUUUUCGGGAAGUUCAUUAUAGUUUAUGCCUGCAUAGGUCUAGGAUUAGCAUUAUUUUCCACUGAAAGAUCAUUUCAAAUAUCUUUCGAAAGGGACGUUCCCACUAUUUUACGUCAUCAUUGUUCAGAAAAGUUUUAGAAAUGCACAUUUAUUAAUAACUCCACUAACUAAUAUUAAUAUUUUAUAAUGCUAGUGGUGUUACAUUUUAAUGUAUUUUUAUUAUGAUAACAUUGAAAAAACAUAAAAGAGAAAACUCCACUAGCUAAUAUAAUGUAGUGAUGUAGCCAAAAUUUGAUCUUCAAAUUACAUGAAUAGUCUUUGUCAUGUAUAAUAUUCUUUGUGCUUUACAUGGGGUGUGAAAUUAAUAUUUUUUUACUUUAAUGCAUGUACACGUAUCGUUAGUAAUGAUAUGUUAUCUAAGCGAACUCUUUUCUGCAACCACCAACAAUGUUAUCUGCAGAAUCGCUUUAGGAAGAAAAUACAGUCAAUAUACCAACAAGUUUCGCAAGCUUUUGAGUGUGCAAACUUUCUAGUGAUAAAUGACUUGUUACUGCUUUGUAUAGUGAAUUUCAUGACUUUUCUGAUAUUAUCGUAACUUAUAUUCAAUGAUCUCAUAUUGAAUGAUCUCAUGCUAUUGAAUAUAUUUUAUCACUCGUAUAUGGAUAUGUAUAAGCUCACUUGUUAAAUGAUUGUAGUUGACAUAGAUUAUUGUUUGUUAAUCUUGUUAAUGUAAUUGUUAUGUUUAUACGUUAAGUUUUAUCGUUUUAACGGUUAAAUUUACUAAGCUCUAUUAAAGUUUACUCGUGUAUUUUUCUCUUUUUUUUUGUAGAAUAUUACAUUUUUAUAGAAUUGAGUGAUCGGAUCAAAUCAAAGAAUCACACUAUUUAGAUAUCUUUUUGGUAGUUUUUGAUAUGUUUAUCUUUGGGUUAUAUAGCAUGUAAUAGGUGUAUUUUGUAUUUUUGUUGAAUACAUAUUUUUAUGUGUUACAUAUUUGGUUGAUGUAAAGUUGUUUAAACUUGGUUUUAGAUCACUUAUGUAUGGGCCUUUUUUGUGUUUGGAAUGAAGUGUGCAUAUAACCUUGGUGUUUGGUUAGUUGAUAUAAAUCAUUUGGAAAUGUUUGAAUUGUGGUAGGAUUGAAUAUGAAUAGAUAGAAUAAAAUGGUAAGUUGGUAUGUGUUUUUAUGUUUAAACUCAUAAGUUAGAAUGUAACUUAUUUGAUAUGACUUGUGGAUAAGUUUGUUAAUUGAAUUGUGUUGUCAAUGAAGGCACAUUGGUUAGGCACUUAGAUUGGAUGAUUUUGGUAUGUUUCGGGCUUGUUUAGGUGUGUUUUGAAUAGGUUUAAUUAUUGGUAAAUGAGUUGUUUGAUGUUCAAGUAAGCAUGUUUUGGUAAGCUUGCAUUUGAAGGAAAAAUUAGGGGCAUGCGGCUUGGGACACAACCUAUCACACAAUCCUGUGCUGCACAUGGUCUCUUUACACGGUCGUGUGUUCCAAGUCAGUGGAAUUACACGGUCUGCGAUACAAUUAUGUAACCCAACAUUGAAUUAAACAGGUCUAGCAAACGGCCUGCGACAUGGACAUGUGAGGGUAUUUCGAAUGUUACAUGGUCGGCACACAGCCUGCGACACGACCAUGUGAAUUUAUUUUGAAAGUUACGUGGUUAAUCACAUGGCCAUUUCCUUGUGCCACACGGUCAUGUGACCCCUAUUUUCAAAAUUUUUUGAAUUUUUUUUAAAACUUUCACUUUUGUUUCAAAUUAGUCUCUAAUUGUUCCUAAAUUGUUUUUAAAGCCCUGUAAGCCUGAUUUAAGGUUUGUAACCGUAUUUAUGCUAUGAAUGACAUUUGAGUUUGAUUAUUUGUUAUUUAAUUUGAUAUUUGGAUGGUUAAAUGUUAAUAAUUGUUAUGAUAUGUGUCGUAAUACUCUAUAACCCUAAUUCAGCAAUGGAGACGGGUUAGGGGUGCUACAACCAUAAUUUAAUCGAAAAACCUGAUAUUAUAAUAAUAUAUUAAACAACAACAUAUUAGGAAAAAGAAAAAAAUAAGUGGAAUAAAUAAAGAACAUAAUUUAUGCAAAAAUAUUUACCUAAAGGAAGAUAAUUUGUAUUUUUUUUUACUCUAUGCUCUUAGUCUCGACAUCAAACUCCUUUCUUUUUCUCUCAGUGGUGUCGACAAAAAAAUCAAAAUACAAUAAAGUCACUAACCUAAUAUGUAUGAGUAUGGGCCAAAUCAAUUAAUUUUGGAAUUUUGCUUUAAGGUUCAUAUUGAGCCUCUAAGAUUAGUCUUUUUAAGACCCAUCAUACAUGAAUAUUUAAUUAUUAUUAAAGUUAUAUAAUUAAAAUCUAAAAAAUAAUUUAUUAAUAUAAAAUAUAACCUUAUGGCUUAAAGGGAUGAAUUUUAUGAAAUAUAAUUUGGCCAAUGGGGCGAAUGUUAUUCAAUGUGGACACCAAAUUUAAAAUACAUAAUAACUUAUAUAUAAAAUUUAAAAAUCUAAAAAUUCCAAGGGGAGCAUUCUAUAUUAUUUUUAACUAAUUUGCAUGAAAUAAUAGUAAUAGAAAUAUUAAAAAAAAAUUAUAAAGUUAGUUUGUUAUUGUACAUUCUAAUGUAAGUCAACUGCAAAUUAGAUUUAUAAAUUUGCAUGAAAUAAUAGUUAUCGAAAUAUUAAAAAAAAAAAAGUUAUAAAGUUGGUUUGUUAAUGGACAUUCUAACAUAAGUCAACUACAAAUUAGAUAUAUAAAAUCUAUUAUAAUCGUAAGAUUACAAAGAUUUUAGAGUGCUAAAAAAUGUUGUUUGGGAAGAUACAAACUAAGGAAAAAAUUGCAUUUGGUAAUCCAAUAAUAUUUGUUAUUUGUUUUAUUUUACUUAUAAAUUAUUCAAAUUCUUAUAUAUGUUGUUUUAGAAAGAAGUUACAGUAAAUGCUAGUUUUGUAAAUAUCAUAUCACUUGAGAAAAUUCAGCUAAACACAAGCAUUAAAUACAACUAACAUAUUAACAUGAUGUUUAUUUUUCAUGCAGCAAUAAAUAUGAAAUGCAACAACAACUAGAUAAAAUUAUAAAUGCUGUUUAUUUUUCUUAAUACUUGUAUUGUUAAUUGUUGAUUACUUUCUUGAACUAACAUAUUAUAUACAUACCAUGAUUUGAUUUUAAUUUAUUUUAAUUAAUAUUUUUUUAUUAAAAAAUUUAUAAUUUAUAUUACCAAAUACAAUAACAUUACAUUAGCAAACAUAUCUAAUAAAUUAUAAUUAUAAAAAGAUAUAAUUAAACUUUCAUGUAAUUACUGUCAUAUUUUUAUUAUUAAGUAGGAUAAACUGGUGGGUUAUACAAACUAAUUUAUAUUAGAUCUAAUUAGAGAAUAUAAGCAGCGAUCAAUUGAGUGGAAAAAAGUUACACCCGAUCAACUUGAGAUUCGAAAUUUCUAAAUAUGGGAAAAACACGAAGAGGGGCUUUCUUGAAAACAGUGAGCCCAUGGCCUUCAUCCAUGUCUAAAUUCUCGGCAUUUUCACCGUCAGGUAAUUUCCAAUCGAACCAGUACAGAAGAUUAGCAACCAGAUCAACAAUGAAGGCCACUGCAAACGCCAUUCCGGGACAACCCCUUCGGCCGAAACCAAAUGGGAUGUACUCAAAAUCUUGACUUUUGAAAUCAUCUGAGCUUUUCUCGAAUCUUUCUGGUAUAAACUCUUCUGGUUUCUCCCACACUUCAGGGUCCCUAUGAAUCGCCCAGGAAUUAAAGAAAACCAUGAUAUUUGAAGGAAUAUCGUAACCUCCGAUGUUAAUCUUUGACGUUGUUCGUCGAGGAACAAGGAGUGGAACAGCUGGAUGAAGCCUUAAAGUUUCUUUGAUUACACAUUUUAAGUAAUUCAUUUCAUCUACAUCCUUCAUAUCUAUCUUUGCUUUCUUUCCAACCCCAUUUCUUAUCUCUUUUUGAACCUUUUUCAUGACGUUCGGGUUUUUCAUUAGUUCAGCCAUUACCCAUUCUAGCGUUGUUGAAGUUGUAUCAGUUCCAGCAAGAAACAUAUCCUGAAAAAAGGAAACAUGUAUCUGAGUCGUACACAAAUAUCAGCCAUGACAAAUAUAAACAUAAGAUUAAAAAAGUAAGAAAAAAAUAACAAGGACCAGUAUGAUUGCUUUGAUGUUGUCUGGAGUGAGGUCCACCUCAAGCAAGCCAUUUUCUUGGAGUUUGAGCAGAAUAGAAAAAAAGUCCCUUUCUCCAUUGUUUUGAGAAGAUCUAUCUUCUUCACGGAUCUGAUCAAAAAAUGUAUCAAAUUCGUUUUUAACUUGUUUCAAGCUUGAUGUUAAUCCUCGAAGAACAUCAACCCACUUCAAGUAAGGAAACAUGUCGCCAACACAAAAAGUCAUCAUAAGGAUCAAAAGCCUUCUACCCAACAACCCAAACUUGCUUUUCCCAUCUUCGUCGUCGAAUUUUCGACCCAGAGCACUUCUCGAAAUCUGGUUAUUCGAAGCAACCAUCAGCAACUCCGUCAGGUUAACAGCCUCUCCCUUGAAAGAAGCUCGGCGGAGUUUAUCAAUGGUGACUUCAACUUCAUCAUCUCUCAAGAACUGAAACGAGUUAACUCUUCGAAG